rnacentral:rRNA from 1 species
CCUGAGGAUCUUGCGCAUGGGCGCAGCCUGAUGCAGCCAUGCCGCGUGAGUGAUGAGGCCUUCGGGUUGUAACCUCUUUUGUCCGGGACGAUGGGGCGGGGGCUAGUACCGUUGUGUAUUGACAGUACCGUGACAAGAAGCGCGGUCAGAUACGUGCCGCAGACCGGGGGAAUCAA